AACCCAUGGUGAGGGCACCCUCUCAACAGAUCUUUGUAUCUCUCCCAUGCAUUGUAGAGUGUUUCUAAAUCCAUCUGCACAAAAGAAGAGAUAUCAUUCCUUAAUUU
rfam:Gossypium hirsutum cultivar TM-1 chromosome 8, whole genome shotgun sequence